CUACGGGAGGCAGCAGUAGGGAAUCUUCCACAAUGGGCGAAAGCCUGAUGGAGCAACGCCGCGUGAGUGAAGAAGGAUUUCGGUUCGUAAAACUCUGUUGUAAGGGAAGAACAAGUACAGUAGUAACUGGCUGUACCUUGACGGUACCUUAUUAGAAAGCCACGGCUAACUACGUGCCAGCAGCCGCGGUAAUACGUAGGUGGCAAGCAUUGUCCGGAAUUAUUGGGCGUAAAGCGCGCGCAGGUGGUUUCUUAAGUCUGAUGUGAAAGCCCACGGCUCAACCGUGGAGGGUCAUUGGAAACUGGGAGACUUGAGUGCAGAAGAGGAUAGUGGAAUUCCAAGUGUAGCGGUGAACUGCGUAGAGAUUUGGAGGAACACCAGUGGCGAAGGCGACUAUCUGGUCUGUAACUGACACUGAGGCGCGAAAGCGUGGGGAGCAAACAGGAUUAGAUACCCUGGUAGUCCACGCCGUAAACGAUGAGUGCUAAGUGUUAGGGGGUUUCCGCCCCUUAGUGCUGCAGCUAACGCAUUAAGCACUCCGCCUGGGGAGUACGGUCGCAAGACUGAAACUCAAAGGAAUUGACG
rnacentral:rRNA from 1 species